GGGUUUUUCAAAAAAAAAUUAUGGAUUGGGAACACUAAACAACAUACUAAAAAUUAAAGGAAACGGCAAGGAAAACCAAAGGGUAAGUGGUCUUUAAUUAUGUUUUAAAUGCUAUUUCCUAAAAACAAAUAAAAGAAAAUUGAAACAGAGACACGUGAACACAAAUCGUUCGUCUUCUUCACGAAGACUCCCUCUAGUUCCCUCAACCUCUCGCGUCUUCAAUCAGUCUCU
rnacentral:lncRNA from 1 species